rnacentral:rRNA from 1 species
UACGUAGGGUGCGAGCGUUGUCCGGAAUUAUUGGGCGUAAAGAGCUUGUAGGCGGUUUGUCGCGUCUGCCGUGAAAAUCCGGGGCUCAACCCCGGACUUGCGGUGGGUACGGGCAGACUAGAGUGUGGUAGGGGAGACUGGAAUUCUUGGUGUAGCAGUGAAAUGCGUAGAUAUCAAGAGGAACACCAGUGGCGAAGGCGAGUCCCUGGACGAUACCUGACGCUGAGGAGCGAAAGCGUGGGGAGCGAACAGG